rnacentral:rRNA from 1 species
UACAGAGGGGGCAAGCGUUGUUCGGAAUUACUGGGCGUAAAGGGCGCGUAGGCGGCCUUCUAAGUCGAACGUGAAAUCCCCGGGCUCAACCCGGGAACUGCGUCCGAUACUGGAAGGCUUGAAUCCGGGAGAGGGAUGCGGAAUUCCAGGUGUAGCGGUGAAAUGCGUAGAUAUCUGGAGGAACACCGGUGGCGAAGGCGGCAUCCUGGACCGGCAUUGACGCGUGAGGCGCGAAAGCCAGGGGAGCAAAGCGGGAU